rnacentral:lncRNA from 1 species
AAAAAUGUUAUAUAAAUGAAAACAAAAAUUAUGAUUUUUUUCUUGUGCCUAUAGGCUCUUCGCAAUUUGAAGAAAAAAGAACAUAUUGUGUGAAAAUCUUUGGCUCGGUCAAAUUUUAUCGAGUUGUUUAUAAAACUGUUGUUAUAUGAUUCAUGUAAAUUUUCAGUGUUGAUUUAAAAGCCCAAGAAAACCCAUCUAUACUGACUUUUUGAUUUUUUUCUGUGAUUUAAAUUUAAAAAAAGAUAAAACUUUCGAUAAAUUAUGUAAACUCAGAACAAGUAUUUAACUUUAGAAAGCAUUUACAUGUUUCAAACUUAUAAUAUAUACAUAUAUAAUGUUUAAAAUUAUGUAUAUAAAACCUGUAUAAAAUGUGCUUAAAUAUGUUUCUCUUUUUUAAUGUGUUAAUUGUACUAUAUAUAACAUUAUUUUAAAAUUUCAAAAAGUUUCUGUCACAUACAAAAACCAUCAAUAAAAAAUAUAAUUCUCCAUCUACAACCAGAAAAAAGAAAAACUAUAAACAUAUAAAUUUAAAUUAAGAAAAACUAACAUUGGAAAAACAAAAAAAUAAUGUAAAAGAAACAAACCGACAAAUAAUAUUAUAAAUAAAAUAAAUUUAUAAGACACAAUCCGCGCGAAGCGCGGAAAAAAUCUCUAGUCAAUAUUAAAAUGAGUUAGCAUAUAUCAUACAACAUAUCAUUUUACAUUAUAUAGUUCCAAAUAUUUAUAAAAUCAAAUUUGAUAAAAACACAUUAGCAAAUCAUCUAUCA